rnacentral:rRNA from 1 species
CAGCAGCCGCGGUAACACGUAGGAGGCGAACGUUAUCCGGAUUUACUGGGCGUAAAGCGCGUGUAGGUGGUUUGGUAAGUAGGGCGUGAAAGCUCCUGGCUCAACUGGGAGAGGCCGUUCUAAACUGCCGAACUAGAGGAUGGUAGAGGGAGGUGGAAUUCCGGGUGUAGCGGUGGAAUGCGCAGAUAUCCGGAGGAACACCAGUGGCGAAAGCGGCCUCCUGGACCACUCCUGACACUCAGACGCGAAAGCUAGGGUAGCAAACGGGAUUAGAGACCCCGGUAGUCCUAGCCCUAAACGAUGUAGACUUGGCGUCGGUGGUUUAAACGCCAUCGGUGUCGAAGCUAACGCGAUAAGUCUACCGCCUGGGGACUACGGCCGCAAGGUUAAAACUCAAAGGAAUUGACGGGUCCCCGCACAAGCAGCGGAGCGUGUGGUUUAAUUCGUUGCUACACGAAGAACCUUACCUGGGUUUGACAUAGGGGUGGUAGGGAAGCGAAAGCGGACCGACCCUUCGGGGAGCCUCUACAGGAGGUGCAUGGCC